GGUUCAUGUCCCCUGUGUCACUGAAACGUGCAUUUUAAACCCCACCCACGAUCUUUUCCUAUACCUAACUGUCCCAUUCUUGUGCCGCAUAUCAGUCAGUAUACGUCC